AUCACUAAUAACAGUUGUUUUUAUGUCAAGGAAAAUGACUUGGCGAAAGCAUAUCUACGUGGAGGUGACCCGUGUUAUACCCAGCUGUGCGAUCUCUUCGGCGCAGACAACAUAAAACAUGAGCUAUCUCAUACUAUUGUUCUCAUCAGCGACUCGCCACAAGUCAAGAAACAUGAGCUAUCUCAUACUGUUGUUCUCAUCAGCGACUCGCCACAAGUCAAGAAAUUGGAGCUCAUUGAAGUGGGUGAUUCGUCUAGUGACGAGGAAGUGAACUCGCCAAUCGAUGGGCCCAACAAGAACGUUGUCCGCAAGCUUACCUUCGUGAGCGGGCAGGUA
rnacentral:lncRNA from 1 species